UACAGAGGUCUCAAGCGUUGUUCGGAUUCAUUGGGCGUAAAGGGUGUGUAGGUGGCGCGCUAAGUCGGGUGUGAAAUUUCGGAGCUUAACUCCGAAACUGCAUUCGAUACUGGCGUGCUUGAGGACUGGAGAGGAGACUGGAAUUUACGGUGUAGCAGUGAAAUGCGUAGAUAUCGUAAGGAAGACCAGUGGCGAAGGCGGGUCUCUGGACAGUUCCUGACACUGAGACACGAAGGCCAGGGAGCAAACAGG
rnacentral:rRNA from 1 species